UACGUAGGGUGCGAGCGUUGUCCGGAAUUAUUGGGCGUAAAGGGCUCGUAGGCGGUCUGUCGCGUCGGGAGUGAAAACUCAGGGCUUAACCCUGAGCCUGCUUCCGAUACGGGCAGACUAGAGGUAUGCAGGGGAGAACGGAAUUCCUGGUGUAGCGGUGGAAUGCGCAGAUAUCAGGAGGAACACCGGUGGCGAAGGCGGUUCUCUGGGCAUUACCUGACGCUGAGGCUCGAAAGCGUGGGGAGCAAACAGG
rnacentral:rRNA from 1 species